rnacentral:rRNA from 1 species
AGUGAACGCUGGCGGUAGGCCUAACACAUGCAAGUCGAACGGCAGCACAGUAAGAGCUUGCUCUUACGGGUGGCGAGUGGCGGACGGGUGAGGAAUACAUCGGAAUCUACUUUUUCGUGGGGGAUAACGUAGGGAAACUUACGCUAAUACCGCAUACGACCUACGGGUGAAAGCAGGGGAUCUUCGGACCUUGCGCGAUUGAAUGAGCCGAUGUCGGAUUAGCCAGUUGGCGGGGUAAAGGCCCACCAAGGCGACGAUCCGUAGCUGGUCUGAGAGGAUGAUCAGCCACACUGGGACUGAGACACGGUCCAGACUCCUACGGGAGGCAGCAGUGGGGAAUAUUGGACAAUGGGCGCAAGCCUGAUCCAGCCAUACCGCGUGGGUGAAGAAGGCCUUCGGGUUGUAAAGCCCUUUUGUUGGGAAAGAAAAGCAGCAGGUUAAUACCCCGCUGUUCUGACGGUACCCAAAGAAUAAGCACCGGCUAACUUCGUG